rnacentral:rRNA from 1 species
AGUGAACGCUGGCGGUAGGCCUAACACAUGCAAGUCGAACGGCAGCACAGUAAGGGCUUGCUCUUACGGGUGGCGAGUGGCGGACGGGUGAGGAAUACAUCGGAAUCUACUUUUUCGUGGGGGAUAACGUAGGGAAACUUACGCUAAUACCGCAUACGACCUACGGGUGAAAGCAGGGGAUCUUCGGACCUUGCGCGAUUGAAUGAGCCGAUGUCGGAUUAGCUAGUUGGCGGGGUAAAGGCCCACCAAGGCGACGAUCCGUAGCUGGUCUGAGAGGAUGAUCAGCCACACUGGAACUGAGACACGGUCCAGCCUCCUACGGGAGGCAGCAGUGGGGAAUAUUGGACAAUGGGCGCAAGCCUGAUCCAGACAUACCGCGUGGGUGAAGAAGGCCUUCGGGUUGUAAAGCCCUUUUGUUGGGAAAGAAAAGCAGCAGGUUAAUACCCCGCUGUUCUGACGGUACCCAAAGAAUAAGCACCGGCUAACUUCGU